rnacentral:rRNA from 1 species
GAGUUUGAUCUUGGCUCAGAUUGAACGCUGGCGGAAUGCUUUACACAUGCAAGUCGAGCGGCAGCGCGGGGCAACCUGGCGGCGAGCGGCGAACGGGUGAGUAAUGCAUCGGAACAUGUCCAUGUCGUGGGGGGUAGCCCGGCGAAAGCCGGAUUAAUACCGCAUACGCCCGAGAGGGGAAAGUGGGGGACCGCAAGGCCUCACGCGAUUGGGUUGGCCGAUGUCCGAUUAGCUAGUUGGCGGGGUAAGAGCCCACCAAGGCGAUGAUCGGUAGCUGGUCUGAGAGGAUGAUCAGCCACACUGGGACUGAGACACGGCCCAGACUCCUACGGGAGGCAGCAGUGGGGAAUUUUGGACAAUGGGGGCAACCCUGAUCCAGCCAUUCCGCGUGAGUGAAGAAGGCCUCGGUUGUAAGC